AGUGAACGCUGGCGGUAGGCCUAACACAUGCAAGUCGAACGGCAGCACAGGAGAGCUUGCUCCCUGGGUGGCGAGUGGCGGACGGGUGAGGAAUACAUCGGAAUCUACCUUUUCGUGGGGGAUAACGUAGGGAAACUUACGCUAAUACCGCAUACGACCUACGGGUGAAAGUGGGGGACCGCAAGGCCUCACGCGAUUAGAUGAGCCGAUGUCCGAUUAGCUAGUUGGCGGGGUAAUGGCCCACCAAGGCGACGAUCGGUAGCUGGUCUGAGAGGAUGAUCAGCCACACUGGAACUGAGACACGGUCCAGACUCCUACGGGAGGCAGCAGUGGGGAAUAUUGGACAAUGGGCGCAAGCCUGAUCCAGCCAUACCGCGUGGGUGAAGAAGGCCUUCGGGUUGUAAAGCCCUUUUGUUGGGAAAGAAAUCCUGUCGAUUAAUACUCGGUGGGGAUGACGGUACCCAAAGAAUAAGCACCGGCUAACUCCGUGCCAGCAGCCGCCGUAACAC
rnacentral:rRNA from 1 species